CUAAUUACUUUGGGUCCAUAUUGCAAUGCAUGAAUUGAAGCCAGUAGUUUCACAAGGCACAUCCACUUGGAACGAAUUUGGAAACCAGCACCAGUUCUGAGAUAAGCGCUGUAAAACUUGCGGUAAAAAUACACUGUGGUCCACUUAA
rnacentral:lncRNA from 1 species